UUGGCGACGGGGGCGUCGACGCAAAAUAGGGGGGGUAGAAUGUAACAGGUGGGACCGCGGGAACCAGGAAGUGUUAAUUGUUGGCAGUAUAAAUAUCGGCACCAUAAGGGUGCAAGAGAACCAGGUAGUCGAUGUGCAGCUGUGUUUUGGUGUUCCUGUGUUCCCGUGGUUCCCCCUGUGACGAGGGCGAGUCGGCGGAUAUUCUUUUGGACGUCAGUAUUCCGGACUCUCCCGAGUGGAAGCCCUGUUGUGCUACACGUGUACGGCCUCUGACUCCAAUGAGGCCUGCAACAAUAAGACUGUCCAGAACUGCACUUCUGCUGACGACACCUGCAUGACCACCGUCAUCACAGCGCUUAAAGUUCAUAGCAUCACAAAACUAUGUACCAUGAAAAGUAUCUGCGACACUACAGCUGCAGCCUCCAAUUCUGAGGGAAAAGUGACGUGCUGCAACACGGACCUGUGCAACGUGAAUGGCUCCACCACUGCCAGGCUCAAUGUGCUGCUUCUGGGGGCUUCAGCAGCUCUGCUUUUCCUGGUCAGCAGGAUCACAGCGUAAGGACAGCAGCACCCACCGCUAUUCUUCAUUGUCCUUUGGAAGAGUGUCUGCGUUUUUUCCCUUGCAUGUUGAAGUGUGAUAUUAUGAUAUUAUAAACCCCUUUCACUAUGAAAGUGCUGUGCUUUGUGUGGGUGUGUUUCUCUGUUGAUUUCCACAUUGAUGGGUGUUACAGUAUAUAGUAUAUGAUUUAGCAAUUAGAUACACUGAAGUUUCUGCACUUUUUUCUAAUAAAUAUGAAUUUCAUAAUGAAAUGAAAAAAAUAUAUAUGAUAUUGUUGCGGGUACUUCCCUGUGAAAAAAUAUAUUCCAUAUUU